CAUUGCCCACCAAGAAACUGCUCCUCAUCAAAUAAUCCCCCCUCCAGCAGCUGUUGUUAUUAUCAAGACAAAGAAAAGACUUGAUGAAUCUUAGCAACAACAGAAAGACAAAAAGUUUGAAUAAUCGACUAUAAAGAAAAACCUUAAUCUAACAUCCGAGAAGACAACAUUCCACAAACCCAUCAAAUCAAAGCAAAACUUUCUCAAGAACAAUGCAAAGAGAACUAAAUCAAGACGCUUUCGCUUCUCAAGAACAUGCGUACGACAGAGUAGAUGGGGGCCUAAGCGGAAGGAAAUGAACUCCGAUCGCGAGAUCUUGAGCUAAGACUUGACGACCGGAAUCCUAGUCCCCUCCGAACGCCGCUCCUUCAGCGACGACAAGGAUCGCUCGUCGGGAGCACGAAGGUCCGAG
rnacentral:lncRNA from 1 species